AACGCGAAGAACCUUACCAAGGUUUGACAUGGCCGGAAAACUCGCAGAGAUGCGGGGUCCUUCGGGGCCGGUCACAGGUGGUGCAUGGCUGUCGUCAGCUCGUGUCGUGAGAUGUUGGGUUAAGUCCCGCAACGAGCGCAACCCUCGUCCCAUGUUGCCAGCAGGUAAAGCUGGGGACUCAUGGGAGACUGCCGGGGUCAACUCGGAGGAAGGUGGGGAUGACGUCAAGUCAUCAUGCCCCUUAUGUCUUGGGCUGCAAACAUGCUACAAUGGCCGGUACAAAGCGCUGCGACAUCGUGAGAUGAAGCGAAUCGCAUAAAGCCGGUCUCAGUUCGGAUCGGGGUCUGCAACCCGGCCCCGUGAAGCCGGAGUCGCUAGUAAUCGCGGAUCAGCAACGCCGCGGUGAAUACGUUCCCGGGCCUUGUACACACCGAUAGC
rnacentral:rRNA from 1 species